CCCGCGCGGAGUUGCUGAUGCCCGAAAGGUCGAGCUAUAUGCGCGUGCUCCGGUUCUGCUUUUGGGUGGAGGCGCCGAAAGAAGUCUGGACGAUGAGGCGGAGGAAGCUGGAGGAAUGGCGUCGGUUGUUGAUCGCCGCGAGUUCGCAUCGCUCUCAAACGGAGGUUUAAAUCCAACGAAGAAGAUUGUUGCGAAAUGAGCAUGAGAUAUAGAGAAAGGAGAAUGAGAUUAGGGUGCUAGUUUGCACGCGUAACCAUUUAAAAUGAUUUGUUGGUUUUAUUGAUCAGAGUCAUAGAAGGCGGGUAAAAACAAGUUAAGCAAAGGUGAAGUGGGUGCUAAUAUGAAUAUUUGGUGAAUCUUUUAAGGUGACAUAAAAAAAAAGAUAUUAUGGAAAGUGCAUCGUAGGGGAUAUGAGGUUGAAAAUAGAUUAAGAUGUUUUGUAUUGAUAGAAGAAGAUGCAGAAGGCAAUGCAAGGUGUGAAGAGUUAUGUGAAAUGGUAUGGAAGGAAAAAGGUUGACGAUAAAGCUGAAAAAUAACAGGGUGUUAUUCUUGGGGUGCUGAAAAGCAAUUCAUAGUAUCUCUAAAGAAUUAGGAGUUUGAUCCUAGAUGGCUUAGCAGUAUCUUCCUUAUUGCAAGAAUUGGAAAAAAAGUGCAAAAGAUUUUACAUAUGCUAAUUUACAGUACCUUGCAACUUCCUCUUUGAUAAUCUUCAUAGGCUGCCUAUCAAGCAAUGCAAAUAACUCUCCUCCCGGACAAAAGUCUG